GGAAGAGAAGAGGGUGAUUGCAAAACUCAUACCGGAAGCGAUUGGUGAUUGCGAAGGCGAGCGCCUUGAUCCACGUGGUGCCACACUUGGGGUUCGUUGCGAGAACGAUGUCGUCGUGGCGAGGUUCGAAGGUGUUCUGGAGGCGCAUGAUGGUUGCAGCGAAACGUGGACGGAGCCAGUAGUUCUUGUAGAGCACCAAUGGCUCCGACCACCCCUCCCUCGUUGGAAGUUUGGAUAGAGGAUCACCAGUACCGUGGCUAUUUGUGGCGCUUCCCUCCAUGCCUUGUGCCAUAGCUCAGCUGCUUUGGAGUGUUCUAACCUUAAAAGCUGGGACGAUGGAUUGGGUGGGUGCGUGUAGACCUGCGGAUUGAAUACAGAGAGCAGCUCUGAUGCUGGUGGCUAUCAAUGCUGUGCAAGUUACCAUAUAUAGGAUUAAAAUAUAAUCUCGUGAUUAGCGAGUAUGUUUUUAUAUUCCUAAAGAAAAGGGACAGAUAAGAUCAUAUGGCGGGGACAUAGCUCAAGUUCUUUAAUUUGGAUCCUGACAAAGGGUUGCUUGGAUGAGAAAAGUAUUAUGUAACAACAUACUUACUAUCUCGACUCUAAAAAAUCCAAAAAGGCGAAAAAAAACUUCCUAGGUCAGGGUUCCUCCGGUCGGUUCUGCGUCCACGAGCCACCCCGCGCCGCCUGCUUCGGCUCCCUCCAGCUCGCACUUCCUGGUUUGCCCUCCGAUCGAUUCGGCGUCCGCGAGCCUCCCCCGCGUCGUCCGCUUCGCCUCCCUCUAUCCUGCCCUUCCCGGUUUGCCCUCCGAUCUCCAGCGCCACCCGCCCUACUCCUCCGCGGUCUCCCUGCGCCGCCACCGCCGCCCGCCCUACUCCUCUCCGCAGUCUUCCUGCGCCGCCGCCGCCGCUCACCCUCCUCCUCUCCGCGGUCUCCAUGAGCCGAGCGCCGCUACCCGCCCUCCUUCUCUCCUCGGUCUCCCUGCGCCGCUGCCACCGCUCGCCCUCCGCCACCGCCGCCCUACUCCUCUCCUCGGUCUCCCUGCGCCUCCUCCGCCGCUCGCCCUGCGCUGCCAUCACCUGCCCUCCUCCUCUCCUCGCUCGCCCCGCGCCGCAGUCACCUGCCCUCCUCGUUCUCCCUGCGCUGAAGUCGCCCGCCCUCCUCCACGCUCUCCCUGCGCCGCAGUUGCCCGCCACUACUCCUAGUUGUCGUGCCGUCGUCGGGGACACGCUACCAACGAGCCAGGUACCUCUUCUCAGACGACCUACAACACCGGAGUUCGAUUACAUCCUGUAUUGUUCAAACAUAAGUCUUCACCAUAGUCUCUGUGAUUGAAAGCAUCUUUUUUUUGUGUGUUCUAUACAAUGUUAGUCACUCCUCUUUGAGAACAACCGAAGAGGGUGUUUUGUCAUAGGGCAACAUGCUAUAUGUCGUGCCCCAGAUACAUGCUGAAUUGAAAAUGUAAUUUGUGUGCAGUUGCUUGGCUACCUAUGUUUUGACCAAUAUGAGGCGCAAAGGAAAAGUUCCUCAUUUAUCGUUUCUUUAGCUAUUAUUAGUAGUGUGGUAGAAGAUCCCAAUUUGUACUUAUUAGCAGGAGAGUAGAAUUACCUUGAUCACCUCAUAGAACUUCGGAUCCAAGUGAACUGGCCUACUAUACAACCACGGCAGCUCUAAUGUCCAAGUUGAGAAACAAUGCUAAUAGCACAAAUACUGUUGGAGAGGCACGCCAUUUCUGCAAAGAAAGAAAUCAGAUCAAGCUAAAACAACACUAUUUGAAUGAAAAAUGAAAUGUGGUGCAUGCCUGAAUCAAUUUGAACUGCACCAGCCUACAAAGUGGUCGGCCAGUCGAUUUAACUGUAAUUUUCAUUUCUGGACCAACAACAACUGAUCUCGAACAAUACAGGUUCCAGUUUCUAACAAAAACUGCAUUUAUCCAAUCACUGUUACAAACUAUUAUUUGAUGGGUCUAAAAUAUAAAAUAAACAAGGAUGGCGAAUUUCAUCCAUUAGAAAGUGACAGCCCACUAUCUAUGCUUGAAUUGCUCCUAGAACCUGUGGACUGUCACAUAUAAUCUGCUACUGCCCUUCAGGUGAUACAGCUGAAUCAUUUGCAAUCAGCCAAACUGCAUAUUUCAGGACAGUUCACUGACAACUGAUGACCAAGAUAUCUGAUAAUUUGGCAUAGAUAGCGAGCAUCCCCAUCUGUAGUCGUCAACAGCAGAACGAAAUUACCUUGAACAUCUGACAGAGCUUCGUAUCCCAAGUGAAUUGGUGCCCAGCUUGUAGGGCGAGCGAGGAGGAGGGCGGGCGGCGGCGGCGGCGCAGGGCAACACCGGAGUUCGAUUCUGUUGUCUAGGGGGUGUUUGGAUCCUUGAGCUAAAGUUUAGUCCGUGUCACAUCGAAUAUUCGGAGGCUAAUUAGGAGGAUUAAAUAUGAGUUAAUUAUAAAACUAAUUGCACAGAUGGAGACUAAACGGCAAGACGAAUCUAUUAAGCCUAAUAAAUCCAUCGUUAUGAAAUGAUUACUGUAGCAGCACAUUGUCAAAUCAUGAACUAAUUAGGUUUAAUAGAUUCAUCUCGCCGUUUAGCCUCCAUCUGUGCAAUAAGUUUUGUAAAUAUUCGAUGUGAUAGGGGCUAAAGUUUAGCCCUGGAACCAAACGACCCCUUAGUUGGCUUCUCUGAAUUUUGAUUACUGAAUAGCAAUUGGUAUGCUAACGUGAUUUGAACCAUUGUUCAUCCAGUGCAUGUCAAAGUCAAACUAAAGAUCAUUCUUUGGCUAGAGAUAUUUUGUGUUUGGCUAGAUCAUUCCUUGGAUGGAUUUUGAAUAAAUAAAUUCAUGAUUAGCCUGUUUAGAAAUUGCACAGAUCCAUUAUGUCUGAGUGUUUUCUAAAUGAAACUUCUGAUCUAGGCCACACCACAUUGAUAUAAUCAUAUUCAGUAUUCAGUACUCAAUUAGGCAUUAAUCACGUAACAAGUUGUUGCCAGGGCAAAUUACAGUGCUCAUUUUAGCGAUUCUUGUUGAUCUCUCUUUGUUGGGUAUGGUCAGGUCUUACUUAGUUCAAUGUUUCAUGAUACUAUGAUGUGCAACAAUUCAGUUUAUUUUACAUAUUUCAUUUAAAUUAUGUUCAGCUAUCUUUCUAAAUCCCCUGCAAGACUGGAUAGGCAUUCAGGCUGCAGAACUGUUGGAUGCUUACUAUAAAUUAGGCUUUUACCAUCUACUGACUGUCCUAGGCUGCUAGGAAUCUCAGCAAAUAAGAAUUGUUGGAUGCUUACUAUAAAUUAGGCAUCAAUCACGCAACAAGUUGUUGCCAGGGCAAAUUACAAUGCUCAUUUCAGUGAUUCUUGUUGAUCUCUCUCUGUUUGGUAUGGUCAGAUCUUGCUUAGUUCAAUGCUUUGAUCUAGCAUAUUUUUGUAAUUAACUGUGUUAUUACUAAUGUACAGGAGUGUUAUGAAUGGUUCGGGAAACCAUUACAACGUAACGAGGAUGAAAAUAUCGGAAGCCCGAGUGACGUUAGAGAAAUAAUGGAACCUAACGAGAUUCAGCAGAUCAAACAAAAGAGGAAAUCCACAAACGGCCAUGAAAAUGCACUUAAACCGAAGAAAAUCGAUACAGAGAUUGAUUCAGAUAAGCAAGAUGUUCUUCUAUACUACAAGGACUGGCCCUUGAAGAGAGAUGAGUUAGCUGAGAUUUUUUAUGAUUAUGUUUUGACAAUCGAGGAUCCUGCGGAAUUGAAGUAAGCUCAGUAGUUCAUACUUCAUCACUUUCGUUCACUAAUAGUAUUGCCGUUUAUUAUGAUUUCUUAUGCAUCGUCCCUAUCUAUUGUUUUGCAGUAUAGUUUGGGUAAGCAGUGAUUUGCCCUAUAAAAGUGUGUAUAAACUCGGUGAUCUCAAGGUGUUGUUGAAACGAGGUUCACCCAUACCUGAACCAUUUUUCAACUUAGGUGUCCGGUUUCUUGCAAACCGAGAGGUUAAAGGGAUGAUAAGGUACAACAACAAGGUUGCAAAGCAUCACGUGGAUCUGCGGUUUUGUGUAAGUUAGCUUGUUUAUAAUUACAAUCAUACUGUGGAAUAUACUGCAUUCAUUAUCUGUCUAUUUAUAUUUAUUAUACAUAAAAUUGAUAAGUGGUACUGAUCAUGGCUAUAUAUCAUUCCGCUUCAGAAAAUGUUGGAGUUAACACGUCAUGAAAAAUAUUGUACACAUCGCAAUGGUAAAGAGUUGGGUGAUGUGAUUGGUGGAUGGGAAAUAGUAAAAUAUAACAUACUAGGUUGCAGAUAUGUAAGUUCUUUUCAUGUUGUUAUUUGUUCAUUACAUAUCCUUUGUGGUCUUAAUAUUGAGUGCUUUGCAGUUUCUCUUGCCACGGAAACACGUCAAUACCUACCUGCUUUAUGUACUCGACAUUAAGCGGAGAAACUUAUUGUGAUUGACACUAAACUCAUUCCAAAAUAUGCCACAGAUGUGCCAUAUAAACAUUAUGCGAUAUAGAUUGUAGGGUUUCGCCUAAAAUUUUUGGUCGCAUUUAGACAGCUUAAACCUGAUUCAUGGGAGGAUGUUCACAAAUAGGAAUUUAAACGUGCGAAAGGGAUUGCGGAAGACACUGAUGGGUAAGACCAGCUCUGACACACCGGCAUUUUAGAGUGUCAAUAUCCUUUAUUUCUUAAAAUAUAUGUUUCUAUAUUUAUAUAGCUGACGAUUCAUCGUACCACAGAUUUUCAGAUGGAUGGUUUAUUCUACAGUACAUGGCAUGGUGGGAUAGUCCUCGAAACGUGCACAUCGAUACAGUGAGUAAAUAUACUUUAUUGUACGUUCCUUUGUGAUUUUACAAUAUACGAUAAAUCUAAUCACACGAGAGCUAAACUUGAAGUAAGCACUCAACUUACGUACAUGAUGCUAUUACGAUGCGGCGCAACUUCUUCAUCGAUCUUUUGGUGCACGAAGCGAAUGCCUGGAGGACACUACUACCAGGCAUUGUGAAACAUUAUCUUUGGCGCAUCACAGGCAAAGAAAUAGGAUAGAUGGGGGUGGCCUUUGGAUGAACUCUAUUCGUAUUUGUUCCACAUGAUUAUUAUCCUGCUGAAUCCAAUGUUGAAGGUUGUUUAAGUCGCCGUUAGAGCUUGCUAGAGAUAAAUACGAUGUAAAGGUGAUUAACUGCCAUAUAUUGUUUGGGAAUUGGUCACAUAAUUAUUCUUUUGCAAGUUGACAUAAAGAGCAUCCAAGCGUACUUAUGCUUAUGUUAUUACUCAUUACAAAGUCAUUUUUUAUUUCACAUUGGGGGCAUUUGGAAGUAAAUAUUUCACACGAUAAUGUUGAUGUUUAUAGACGAAAUUUGUUUUGCCCGUAGCAACGCACGGACACGAUCGUGUACUUAAAAACCAAAGCCGUAGCGGUGACGGUGGUCCAGCUCUUCUCUCCUCACCACUGACACAUGCACCCACAUGUUUUUCAUAACACAAGGCCGGAUCCCUUGAGCUUCUCUUCCAUGAUGUAAUCCAACUUUCUCCCCAUCUCUUCACUCAUAUAAUUUACCCAAUCACCUACCUUGCCUCUCCUGAAGAAGGCUGAUUUCUCGUAGACCACAUUGGGUCUUGGACGGAGCUUCAAGUUUCCGGCCCUAUUAGCCUCCAAGCCACUAAGCAUCUCAAAGCUGCACAACCUUACCACCUGCUCAUGAACACCAUCCUCUUCUUCCUCGCCGGUGAAUGGGACACCGAGGAACAAUGCAAGUUUCUUGACAUACCUCACAGGAUCUGACAUCAUGUCUUCAUAUUUCAGGAACAGAAUCCUAUCAGGGCUCGCGAUGCUUUCUUUCCAGUACUCGAGACAAUGGUUCCAAAAGGGCCCACUGGGCAAAGAACCCUCGCAAAACCUAUUGAACAUGGAGUCCAAGUCAGGAGCAUGUCCUCCAUGUAUCCUUUUCAAGAAAUGCCACAAUGACACAAAGGCAUCCUUGGGCUCUCGGCAAAUAUAAACAAUACGACAACCAUGGCUAGCUAUGGAUCCAGGAAGAAGUGACAUGGGCAUGUGGGUAGACACAAGCCUCGGGGAGGGAAGCGUCUCAACAUAGCUUAGGUCCUCAUUUGUAGGAAUUUCCAGGAAAGGCACUACCUCCUGUGGAUGAUGGGUGAGGAGCGGGUGGUCAUGGAAGUUGUAACGGUGGCGGGUGGUGAUAGUGAAGGCAAGUGCCUUGAGCCAUGUGGUGCCACACUUGGGGUUUGUGGCGAGGAUGAUAUCGUCGUGGCGAGGCUUGAAGAUGUCUUGGAGGAGCAUGAUGUUUUUGGCGGUCUGUGGCCACAGCCAAUAGUUCUUGUAGAGCACCAAGCCUUCUUUUGGUGGAAGUUUGGACACAAGAUCAUCAAUGUGGCUCUCGGCUGAGCUUCCCUCGUUGUUGGGAUGAGCCAUGGCUGGUUUUAUAUUUUGGGCCUUUUGGCAGGUGAUGGAUCCAACAAACAGGCAGCUAGCUAGCUAAAAGGUUCUGCUUCAACCCGCGGAUUGAGCUAGCUGCUCUGCCUGGUGGAGCUGAUACUAUUAUAUAGUUGAAUUGAAUGUCGCUGAUAUUAUUAUUGAAUUAGUUCACUAGUCACUAUUGUAUAGUGAGGUAUGGGCAUGGAUGGUAACAUCAUAUCUUCCUAUCUGUGGUAUGGGCAUGGAUGGUAACAUCAUAUCUUCCUAUUUGUGGUAUGGGCAUGCAUGGUAUGGGCAUGGAUGGUGUUUUUUUUUUGGAAGUUUGGAUAGAGGAUCAUCAGUACCUUGGCUAUUUGUGGCGCUUCCCUCCAUGGCUUGUGCCAUAGCUCUCAGCUGCUUUGGAGUUCUUGCGCGCUCUACAGCUGGGACGAUGGAUUGGGUGGGUGCGUGUAGACCUGCGGAUUGAGCAGCUCUGCUGAUUGGCUUGCGCAUGCAUCUCCGGCUGUUGGGAUAAUACUCCCUUCGUUCUAAAUUGUAGGUCGUUUUGACUCUUUUAGGUUCAUAGAUAUUAUUGUACAUCUAUAUAUGUGUAGAAAAAUUUUAAAACGGAGGAAGGAAGUAUAUAAGAUGAACGUAUGCUCUUGCAAUUGUUGAGUUAGUUCACUGAUUAAUGUAUACAGUUGAGGAGAUGGAUGUAUACUGCCUAACAGAAUAGCAUGAAUGCACGCUUGUUUCAGUGAGGCCGUCUUUCUAGCUAGGACACUGUAACCUCGAGCCGUACAGAUGUUAAUGUGCUGGUGACCCAAUAUAAUUUGACUAUAGUUUAUCAUUUUCCCUUCCUUUUGCCUUUCAUUUGAUCCGUAUCGCUGUUUCAGAAAAUUGGUCGUUUCUUGUAUUUUGCUAGGUCGUCAGAGACCAUUUCAGUAAUCGUAAGUCAACGCAAGGUCCAAGAUGUUCCUUUAGUUUUUUUUUAAAAAAUAAGGCUUAUUAUAGUUGAAGGGCCUAAAUUUGAGGCAGAAUCUUGUUUGGGCCUGAAAGUGAAACUGUUGGGAUUGGGCUGGUGGGCUUGAUCGCGGGCUUAUACGGGUUUGUUUCGUGAAUACCGUACUGCCAGCCCGAGAGUGCACGUUCAUGAAUGGUAACCUCAAGUUCAGAUGCACCUGUACAUUGCUGGGGGCAUGAGGGAUAUGGGUAUCCCAUAGGUUCCCACCGAUACGGAUCUGAUAAGUAGGCCCGCUCGUUCAGGACAUGCGGGCUGAGGACAUGAAGUUAUCCAAAUCUACCCGUAUACUGUGGCACGCGUACUGUAAUCCGAUUUAGAUUUGUUAGGAUUGAUCUCUUUCCAGAUUUAGUCCAACGGCCAAAUCCGAGAAGGAUCCCCAAUGGCGUCCUCGACGACUACUUCACUCAAGACCGACGGUCAGUGUCUCUUUCUCCAGGAUGUCACCGUGUAGAUCUAGUACUUCAUGUUGUUUAUCUAAAUCAAGUAGAAGACCCACUAGAUUAGCACCUAGAAGUUCCUGUUAAUCCUAUCAAGAUUACCUUUCCAUGUAAUACCGAGUAUAUUAGAUUCAAAUCGACAUGUAACUCUUAGUCGUUCAACUAUAUAAGGCAGCUAAGAACGCCUCCAAAGGCAAUGGAAAAAUAGAUCAUCAGAUCAAUACUGGGCAAUACAAUCCAAAAAAUACAGGACGUAGGGUAUUAUCCUCCGAAGGUCUAAAAUUAUCUAAAUCCCUCGUGUUCCCUUUGUGUCCUCGCGAUCACCUUCGAGUUCUGGGCCCUCGGAUCCAUCCUGCUCGACUCCCUCGGAUCCAUCCUGCUCGACUCCACGCCCACCCAGAGGAGCAAGCACUAGUAGAGAAUUGGGCUUUAGUCCCGGUUGGUAGGGUGCAAAUAUCCCGAAAAUCCAUCCGGGAUAAACCAACCGGGACAAAAGGGGGGUCUUUUAUCCCGGGUCACUCAACCGGGACAAAAGACUCCCUUUUAUCUCGGUUGGUAAUACCAAUCGGGAUAAAACGGGUCACCAUGGCCAGCGCUGCAAAAAAAAAAUCCCGAGCUCCCAGGAGGCCCACACACGCACGUCGCAAGUCACAAGUCACGUAAUUUUUCACGCGAAAUAUGCGCGUGCGCGGUUCGUGGGAUUCGAUCCCACAACCUCUUGAGGAUGACGGAAGAGAAGAGGGUGAUUGCCAAACUCAUACCGGGAGCGAUUGGUGAUUGCGAAGGCGAGGGCCUUGAUCCACGUGGUGCCACACUUGGGGUUCGUUGCGAGAACGAUGUCGUCGUGGUGAGGUUCGAAGGUGUUCCGGAGGUGCAUGAUGGUUGCAGCGAAACGUGGACGGAGCCGGUAGUUCUUGUAGAGCACCAAUGGCUGCGCCCACCCCUCCCUCGUCGGAAGUUUGGAUAGAGGAUCAUCAGUACCGUGGCUAUUUGUGGCGCUUCCCUCCACGCGUUGUGCCAUAGCUCAGCUGCUUUGGAGUGUUCUUGCGCGCUCUACAGCUGGGACGAUGGAUUGGGUGGCUACUUGUAUAAUUCAUGCAUGCUUCUUUGGGUACAGAUUCGGUCAAUAAUGGUGUGUAGUAUUAAAGUAUAAUCUCGCGAUUAGCGAGUAUGUUUUUUUAUUCCUAAUAAAGAAAAGGGACAGAUAAGAUCAUAUGGUGGGGACAUAGCUCAAGUUCUUUAAUUUGGAUCUCCAGCAGGGAUAUGGCCCCGGCUGCGGCGGACGGAGCUCCGAUCGAUCCUCCCUAGAACAAUGCAGAAACAUGCAUGCUUCGACGGCUAGAACAUCCGCCGGAGACGAGGAUGACAGCUACCACGCGACGGAGGAUGCCGACGGCGAUGAGAGCGCCGUCCAUCGUGCUCCGGUACCGUCGGUGGGGUUCUCGAUGUCCGCCGUGACAUGUCACAUUCAUCUGUCCUUUUGCCAUAAAAAAAGGCAGCCCCAUGUGCGUGGUCUGCUCUGCUCCUCCAUGCAGGAUGUCCGCAUGGUCUGCUACGAGCACACGCAGGUUCUUCGCAGGCAGAUCGAUCAGGUCGAUGCGCCGACCCAGCUCAUCAGCUCCUCCACGUACGGUCGCCGCCGGCUUUGUUCUUGCAUCCUCUCGCAAACUUCCUUCCUAACCUGACAUGGGACGAAACGAAACACAUCAAGCAAAAAUGUUGCUCAAGCCGGCCUUACUGGUUGUGUUUCUCUAAAGCUCAAGGACAAGUAGGAUCGUAUCACAUCACCUACCUUGCCUCUCCUGAAGCCUGAUUUCUCGUAGACCACAUUGGGUCAUGGAUGGGGUUCUCAAUCACUACCGGAAACCGAGUGUUUGCCGAGUGCAAGAAUCUUUGCCGAGUGCAUUCUAUCGGGCACUUGGCAAAGAAGCUCUUUGCCGAGUGCUGCCAAAAACACUCAGCAAAAGAGCCAAAAAAUACUGGGCAAAGCCUGGCACUUGGCAACCCAGAAAACAAACAAUCGGCAAAGAUAGGCACUCAACAAAGAAAUAUGUUUGCCGAGUGUAAUUAUUUAGCACUUGGCAAAUAAUUUCACUUUUUUUUUCUAUUCUGGCUUUGAAACUUUUUCUACUCUCCACAUAAAAUAUGUGGUAUUCCAUGUUAAAAUUUGAUAUAUUUCUGGAUCCGUUUGCUAUAUUUAAUUAGUUUAUUGCAUUUCUAGGAAUUUUUUAGUAUAAGUCAAACUUGAACAACAAGUGAUUCAAAUAAUUGAAUAAAAUGAGUAGAAAAAUUGAUAUUUAUGUUAUUGAGUCUAGUGUGAGACCUUACCCAGGAAAUGAAAAGAAAUUUCGAACAUCUUGUUCAGAAAACACGACCACUAACGUUUGGCCGAAUGGUUUUUAAAUUCUAAAAAAAGCAAAUGAAGUCCGAAAAUCAUGAGAUUUUUCUGUGUGAUGAUAUCAUACAUGGAGGCUGUGGUAAAAAAUUGAGAUUUUGCACAAUUUGUCAUGUACGAUGUUUACAAACCGAAGCAUCUCAGAAAAAGAAUCGUAGCGUUGAGAAGGAUUCGGUAAGAUUUGGAGUCAAAGUGACGGUCGAAUUGGGGUUUGACUUCAAAAUCUUUUGUAUAGGCAAUAGAGAACAUAGAUUAUUUCAUGUGAAAUUUUGAUAAUUUUUUUGGAUCCGUUUGAUAAUUUUAAUUUAUUAAGUGUAAUUAUAAAAUUUUAAUUGAUAUAAAUUAAAUUUGAGCUGUAAUUGCACAAAAUAAUGGAGUAAUAUUUGUAGAAAAAUCAUAUAUAUAUAUAUAUAUAUAUUGUUGAGUCAAUUUGAUAAGGUAUUUUCAAAGGACAUCAGGAAAAUACGGUAUGGAAAAGAAGAAAAUGGGAACCGAGUCUUUACUGAGUGCCAUGUCUGACACUCGGUAAAGUAGCUUUGCCGAGUGUCCUAGAUUCGACACUCAGCACCUUAUAAAACUCACCCGGCCGCCCCCCCUUCCUCCCCCCUCCCCUCCCUCUCCCGGCGCCACCCCACUCUCCUACCGGCACCGCCCCCUCCCCUCCCUCCGUCUCCCACCAGCGCCCCCUCCCUCUCCCGCUGGCACCGCCCCCUCCCCUCCCUCUCCCCCCAUCUCCCUCUUUUUUUUUUGCACAGGCGGUGGCGGCGGCGUUGUGGUGGCGGCGACGGUGUCAUGAUGGUCACGGCGGGCGUGUUUUUAUAUUUUUCGAAAUAUUUUUUGCCGAGUGUCGAUUUAGCACUCGGCAACGUCUUUGCCGAGUGCUAAAAAAAAACAUUCGGCAAAGACAGCUUUGCCGAGUCUCUGUUUGCUGAGUGCCGUUUGCUAAGUGAAACACUUGGCAAAAGCUUUUCCGAGUGUUUUUUUUACCUUCGCCGUGUGCCAUGGGUACACGGCAAACCUGGGCAUUCCGGCAGUGAAUGUUGGCCAUGCAUGCAUCGUCCUAGCUAGGCUUAAUGACACCUACCCAUCGAGAUAAAUGGUAUCGAAUUUAGUUUCUGCUGAUUGGACUCUAAACAGAAAAGAUUAACACCUCUAAUUUUGAUGACCCAGGUAUAUAAUAAGGAUUAAUUUGCGAGCACGAUUGAGCUAAUCUAAUCUGUACUCCCUCAGUCCCAAAAUAAGUGUUCAUUUAGAAAAUUUUGGACACAUUAGUAGUUGUGAGUAGUGACCAUGCUAUUCCUUAUUACUCAUAUUAGUUGUGGUUAAAAGCUAUCCAGUCUGUUUGAUUUUCUGGAUCUUGAAUACAUGCACGUGCAUUGGAACCAGAGAAAAACAUCAAUUGAUCAUUUUAUUGGAUCUAUGAACUUCUCAACACACUUGUUUUUAUUGGUGCGAGUGUUACUUUAAUUAGAUGAGUCUCGCUCGAAGCUAAAUGAACUUUUGACAAAAUUUGAAAGAUAUACGAACACUUAUUUUGGGAUAGAUCGGGACGGAGGGAGUAAGCCGAUACUUAAAAUAAGGAAGAUGGUUGGUGGCAUGUCACGUUCCUCUGUCCUUUUACCAUCAAACAAAGCAUUAUAUUAUUACAUGGAUCGAUGAACUCUCACACCGGCAGCGGCGGCUCCUCGUCGGCUUGCAGUUUCCCCUCUAUAUUUCCGUAGACACGACGACGACGACGAAAACGCAGCAGCAGCCAGCGAGGAGGAAUCCCAUGGGCCAUGGCCCCCAGGACGAGCAGGACCACAGCCACCACGCGAACGCCCAGGCCGGCCGCCCGAUGAGCACGGUAGAAGAGCAUCGAGAGGACGCAGAAGGCGAUGAGCGCGCCAACCAUGCACAGCAGCGGCGCGCAUCGACGGUCGGAUCCGGCCUCGCGUCAACGACGCCGCUGCCGCCGCCGGGAUUCUCGAUGUCCGCCAUAGCAGCUAGCCUUUGGUGUUCGUUACUAGCUAGGGGGAAAAAAAGCAAGCGAGCUCAAUGCAAUCAACGUAAAGUCUCCCGAAAAGGGCCCCACAAGCGAAUGCACCGCCUCCCGCCGUCCCGUGGGCGCUCGGUCCCCACGCGCGCCGGCGGCACCAACCUCUCCCGCUGAUGCUCCGGUCCCCCGCGCGUGCCGGCUCUACCGCCGCCUCCCGCGGGCACGCCGGCCUUACUGCCUCCGCGUUGCACACGCCGUGGUCUGAGAAGCUGACUGAGGUUGAAGAAGAACAAAAAUCUGAAAAUGUCGGCUCUUCUUUGAAAAAAAUGUUGAAUCCGGUUUUCCAAAAUGUUGAAGUAGAUAGAUAAAAAUGUUGAAUGUAGUUUUUUCCCUUAUGAAAUGUUGAUCUAGAAUGAAAAUGUUGAAUCUGUUCAGUUUAGAUGUUGAUUAAACUGUUGAAAAAUGUUGAAACUAAUUUGUUAAAAUGUUGACUUAAACUUUUAAACGGGUCUAAUGGCCUUUAAAACUAUGUUGCUUAUCUAGCUUCCACUAGCUACAUAGGAGGCCCCGCGGCACUACUAGCAGAAAUUUCGCUCAAUCAAAAAGAAAGCAGCAAGUAGAAUUCCAUUAAAGAAUCAUGACUUGCGCAAUGGAUGACUUUGUUUAUUAAUUCAAACAAUCGAAACAUGACGUUAAAACAUACAACAACAUAUAAGAAAAGUAAACCACAUGAACAUAAAGAACCAGGAAGGCCAAUUUCUUCCAUUUCUUCACUCAUGUGAUUCAACCGGGUCCAGCUUCUCCUUUCUUCAGGGAUUGUCGGCAAUCAUGACGCGUUUAAGAGAAAUGUACAACAUGCAAAUAUGACAUGUUUAUUCUUGCAAACAUGCAAAUAUGAUGGCAAAUAUAAAGCAUACAAAGAAAAUAAAGCAAAAGGAGAUGCACAUUAUGAUGGCAAAUAUAAAGCAUACAAAGAAAAUAAAGCAAAAGGAGAUGCACAUUAGAGCACAAAGCCAGUUCCCUUCAGUUUCUCUUCCACGAUGCAAUCUAGCUUUCUCCCCAUCUCUUGGCUCAUGUGAUUCACCCAAUCCCCCACCUUCCCUUUCCUGAAGAACACUGACUUCUCAACAAUUAUGUUGCCACGCCGGACCAUGUCACCUGUCUGGUUGAUGUCCAAGCUGCUAAGCUUAUCAAAGCUGCACAACCGCACCACCUCCUCAGGUAUCCCGUCUUCUUCUUCCUUGAUACUGAAAGGGACACCGAGGAAUGUUGCAAGUCUGAUGACAUGCUUCACUGGUUCUGACAUCAUAUCUUCAUACUUGAGAAAAAGAAUUUUGUUAGGGCAUGCGAUGCUCUCCCUCCAGUACUCAAGGCAAUGCUCCCAAAAAGGUCCGUAGGGUGAGAAACCUUCGGAAAACAUGUUGAAAGCAGCCUCAAAGUCGAUGCUAUGUUCCCUAUGAAGCUUUUUCUCGAAGUGCCACCGGGACACAAAGGCGUCCUUUGGAUCUCGACAAACGUACACAAUACGACAACCACAAGUAGCUAAGAAAUUUGGGAACAACGAGAGGGGCAUAUGGGUAGCAAGAAGCCUUGGAGAUGGGAGUGUCUCUACAUAGGUCAUGUCACCAUCUCGAGGGAUCUCGAGGAAUGGCACCACCUCCUGGGGAUGACGGAAGAGAAGAGGGUGAUUGCCAAACUCAUACCGGGAGCGAUUGGUGAUUGCGAAGGCGAGAGCCUUGAUCCACGUGGUGCCACACUUGGGGUUCGUUGCGAGAACGAUGUCGUCGUGGCGAGCUUCGAAGGUGUUCUGGAGGCGCAUGAUGGUUGCAGCGAAACGUGGACGGAGCCAGUAGUUCUUGUAGAGCACCAAUGGCUCCGACCACCCCUCCCUCGUUGGAAGUUUGGAUAGAGGAUCAUCAGUGCCGUGGCUAUUUGUGGCGCUUCCCUCCAUGGCUUGUGC
rnacentral:lncRNA from 1 species